rnacentral:tRNA from 1 species
GCGCCGCUAGCUCAGCCGGAUAGAGCACCGGUCUUCGGAACCGGGUGUCGGGGGUUCGAAUCCCUCGCGGCGCGCCA